GCUUAUUUGUGGCUCAGUCGGCAGAACAUGAGACUCUUAAUUUCUAGGUCAUGGGUCCGAGCCCCACAUUAGGCA